AUACCCUAUUAUUUUGAACGUAAAAUGUGGAAGCCAGAGUAUUAUUAGAUAAUACUUGAAACUUAAAGAAUUUGGCGGUAUUAUAUUCUAUUUAGAGGAAUCUGUUAUGUAAUCGAUAAUCCUCGUUGAACCUUACUUAAAUUAUUUCUUGUAUACCGCUGUUUAAUGAAUCUACUUUUAGGUUAAUUUUCUUAAUAAAAUAUUAAUUAGGAUUUCAAGUCAAGGUGCAGUAAUAUAUAAGACGAAUAAUGGGUUACAAUAAAUUUUAUUUAAACGGAUAUUUUUUGUUAUAAGAAUUUGAAGGUGGAUUUAAUUGUAAUUUAUCUAAGAUUAGAUAAAUGAUUUUAGCCCUAUAAUAUGUACACAUCGCCC
rnacentral:rRNA from 1 species